GUCUGUAUGAAGUUAUAUAGAGUCUAGCCUGCCCAAUGAAAUUAUUUAAAAGGCCGCAGUAAUUUGACUGUGCAAAGGUAGCAUAAUAAUUAGUUUUUUAAUUGAAGGCUUGUAUGAAUGGUUGGACAAAGAAAACUCUGUCUUUUAUAUUAUUUUUGAAUUUUACAUUUAAGUGAAAAGGCUUAAAUAAAUUUAAGGGACGAUAAGACCCUAUAAAUCUUUACGUUGAAUUAAAUUUUUUUAUAAUUUCAUAAAAUUUAGUAAUGUUAUGUUGGGGCAACAUAGAUAUAAAAAAUAACUGUUAAACAAAUUAUACAUUUAUUUAUGAAUAGAUAAAAGAUCCUUAAAAAGAUUAAAAGUUUAAGUUACUUUAGGGAUAACAGCGUUAUUUUUUUUGAGAGUUCCCAUUAAAAAAAAAGUUUGCGACCUCGAUGUUGAAUUAAAAAUUCUUUGUGGUGUAGCAGCUGCAAUAGAAAGUCUGUUCGACUUUUAAAAUUUU
rnacentral:rRNA from 1 species